UGCAGCAACGCCGCGUGAGGGAUGACGGCCUUUCGGGUUGUAAACCUCUUUUAGCAAGGAAGAAGCGAAAGUGACGGUACUUGCAGAAAAAGCGCCGGCUAACUACGUGCCAGCAGCCGCGGUAAUACGUAGGGCGCAAGCGUUAUCCGGAAUUAUUGGGCGUAAAGAGCUCGUAGGCGGUUUGUCGCGUCUGCUGUGAAAUCUGGAGGCUCAACCUCCAGCCUGCAGUGGGUACGGGCAGACUAGAGUGCGGUAGGGGAGAUUGGAAUUCCUGGUGUAGCGGUGGAAUGCGCAGAUAUCAGGAGGAACACCGAUGGCGAAGGCAGAUCUCUGGGCCGUAACUGACGCUGAGGAGCGAAAGGGUGGGGAGCAAACAGGCUUAGAUACCCUGGUAGUCCACCCCGUAAACGUUGGGAACUAGUUGUGGGGACCAUUCCACGGUUUCCGUGACGCAGCUAACGCAUUAAGUUCCCCGCCUGGGGAGUACGGCCGCAAGGCUAAAACUCAAAGGAAUUGACGGGGACCCGCACAAGCGGCGGAGCAUGCGGAUUAAUUCGAUGCAACGCGAAGAACCUUACCAAGGCUUGACAUAUACGAGAACGCUGCAGAAAUGUAGAACUCUUUGGA
rnacentral:rRNA from 1 species